CUAUAAUAAAUUAUGCAUUUAUACCUCAGUUAACUUAAGUAAAUUUUUUUUUUUCCUGUCCUGUUUAGUAUUAUUGCAGAAAAGCUAAAUAAAAAAAUUGUUUGAAAACAAAUAAUUCUUUUAAGUACCUUCAUAGAUAUAGGCAUGAAAUUAUGUUAAAUGUGAACAAUCAGUUUAGAGUGUAUUAUUAAUGUAGCUAAAUGACUUUUUAUAGUUGAAGUAAAAUUAAUAAAAAUAAUCAAUACGGAUUUAAGUAAUAAUGAUAAAAUACCUAAAUACCUAGUUAAACAUACCAAUUAAAUUUAAUUCAAUUUUCAAUUAUAUAAAAGUCCUAAACAAUAAAUGUGCAUGAGGUACCUAUUAUGAUAUACUAGGCACCUACAUAGCCACAUAGGUAAGUACCUAUCUACUAAAAUCACACGGUGUUCAAUAAAAUCUAUGGGCAUUUAACACAUAUAUCUUUUACCUAUACGUCUAGUAUUGUCUACACAGUUAGGUAGGUGCUUAAUCAACAAUUUAGUAAGUUUAAUAUAGGUACCUACUUUUUAUGUAAUAGUCUAUCAAGUAAUAUAUUAUCGAUAACUUUUAGUCCUGCAAAUAGGAGGAAAAAAAUGAAUUUCACAAGAAUAAUAUUAAGCCCUAUCUAGUUCAUAAUAUAAUUCCAUAAUAUUAUUAUAUUCAAAUGAUAAUUGGGAUGAGUUGGAAUUGGGGCCAAGUUUGUUUGUUCAUUUUUUUUUAGCACAUUAGGUAUUUAUCUAUAUUGGAACAAUCUGAAUUUUUUUUAUGGUUAUUAAUUCACCACUAACAGAUAGUGAUAUACUUAAUUAAACCUAAAAUAUAUAUCUUUAUUAAAAUAAUUUAAAUUUUAUUAAAUAGAUAGGUACCUACAGUAAAAGAUAUUUGAAGUUUUCUGAUGAAUAGAAUAAUUUAGUAGUUUUAGG